ACGCGUAUUUGAAUCAGGGACAUUGAGGAUAUGGCAGCGUGUUGCGGUCGGUUUUGGCUAGACCUCAGUCAGUUGGUCAGCCUUUUUGUAGCCAUUUGAGUAGUGUUUUUAUACAUGAGGCAGAGUAUAGUACUUUACUGCAAUUUCGUACGUUUCAUGCUUUAAAUUUAUUUGUUUUAUUGUGCUAUUUUAUGGUUUCUUGACUUAAGGUUUACAAUAGUACUAUUCGUAUUUGGCCGAAAUAAUCUUAUCCUCUAAAAAAGUAUCGCACCUACAACAAUUUUGUGCCCCAUUAGUUAACUCGGUCUGGAACGAAUCGUACUACAGUAGACGACAUUUAAUGUUUUGUGGAGUGAUUUUGAAGUGGUAUGUUAUUAUAUAUAUUGUGUCUAUUGCUGCAUUUGUUGUUUUCUGCUACGUUUCGUUAUUGUUCAAACAAACGCUCAAGAUUUGAUUUUUCGGGUCAAACCAAGAGAUCUCGGGAUUCAUGUUCAUGUCCGACGUAUUUUGUUUUUUGACUUGGCGAAUGCAAUUUGUGAUUGGAGGCGAUGUCGAGUUAAAAGAGCUUAGCAGAUCGAAGAGUUCGGCUAUUGAUAUUCUCUACUCUGUUUCUUUUUUUUUUUUUCAAAAUUACCGCUCAAGAGCAAAUUAUGAGUAAGCUGAUUUCAUCGCCAUAUGGCCUCAACUAAUGCGAAUCAAACAUGAAUUUGCAUGACUAUGCUGACGUCAUCCGUAUGUAGUGUUCGCAAAAUUUCUGUUGUCCAGUGAAGUUGUCGCAACGCUGGAUAAAAACGUCAGAAUAAGGGUCAUCAACAGUGUCAAACAACUGAAGAUCAAGAGAGUUUUUAUUACAAUAUUUUGUAUUAGUUAUUCAAUUGUUCAAACCGUUUUUGUGUAAUCUUUAUUUUUUUGGCAUAUUUCCUAUACGUGAUCAGCGUGUAAAUCUUGUUUUUGCGAUCUUAUAUAUUCUGCAUAUAUAUAGCAUAAUUUUGAGUCUAUUUCAACUCUUUUGAUAUUUGAUUUUUCUUUUAGUCUCUUGAAUAGUUUUUGUGUUUGACAUUUUCUGACAUCUUAUGCACGUGAUCAACAUUAUAAAUAAUAUUUAAUAUAUUUCAUAUCCUGCGGAUCAGAUUUUUUCAAGCCUAUGUCGCUGUGAUUCAAUGAAUUUUGUGUCAAUAAAAUCUGGCAACUGCACUUGA